UACGUAGGGGGCUAGCGUUGUCCGGAAUCAUUGGGCGUAAAGCGCGUGUAGGCGGUCCGGUAAGUCCGCUGUGAAAGUCGGGGGGCUCAACCCUCGGAUGCCGGUGGAUACUGUCGGGCUUGAGUACGGAAGAGGCGAGUGGAAUUCCUGGUGUAGCGGUGAAAUGCGCAGAUAUCAGGAGGAACACCAAUUGCGAAGGCAGCUCGCUGGGACGUUACUGACACUGAGGAGCGAAAGCCAGGGGAGCAAACGGG
rnacentral:rRNA from 1 species